AGUCAACGGUACGAAAAAGGCGCAAUGAAAGUGAACGCGGACGAUGGCCUAGCGCGCUGGUCCGCAGUCCGGGGGCGUCUCCGGGGGCGCACCCUUAGCGCACACGUUGGUACCCGAAAGAUGGUGAACUAUGCCUGGCCAGGAUGAAGUCAGGGGAAACCCUGAUGGAGGUCCGCAGCGAUUCUGACGUGCAAAUCGAUCGUCUGAGCUGGGUAUAGGGGCGAAAGACUAAUCGAACCAUCUAGUAGCUGGUUCCAUCCGAAGUUUCCCUCAGGAUAGCUGGCGCCCGCGGGAGGAUGUCUCAUACGGUAAAGCGAAUGAUUAGAGGAUUGGGGCCGAAACGACCUCAACCUAUUCUCAAACUAUAAAUGGGUGAGAUCGCCGGCUUGCGUGAAAGCCGGGAACCCUAGGCGCUUAGUGGGCCAUUUUUGGUAAGCAGAACUGGCGCUGCGGGAUGAACCGAACGCCGAGUUAAGGCGCCGAAAUCGACAGAGACC
rnacentral:rRNA from 1 species